rnacentral:rRNA from 1 species
GAUGAACGCUGGCGGCGUGCCUAAUACAUGCAAGUCGAACGCAUUGUGGUUGAAAUGAUAUGAAGAACUUGUUCAGAUUUGAUUUUCAACAUUGCAAUGAGUGGCGAACGGGUGAGUAACACGUGGGAAACCUACCUCUUAGCAGGGGAUAACAUUUGGAAACAAAUGCUAAUACCGUAUAAUAAUUAAAACCGCAUGGUUUUAGUUUAAAAGAUGGUCUUGCUAUCACUAAGAGAUGGUCCCGCGGUGUAUUAGUUAGUUGGUGAGGUAAUGGCUCACCAAGACAAUGAUACAUAGCCGAGUUGAGAGACUGACCGGCCACAAUGGGACUGAGACACGGCCCAUACUCCUACGGGAGGCAGCAGUAGGGAAUCUUCCACAAUGGACGAAAGUCUGAUGGAGCAACGCCGCGUGUGUGAUGAAGGGUUUCGGCUCGUAAAACACUGUUGUAAGAGAAGAAUGACAUUGAGAGUAACUGUUCAAUGUGUGACGGUAUCUUACCAGAAAGGAACGGCUAAAUACGUGCCAGCAGCCGCGGUAAUACGUAUGUUCCAAGCGUUAUCCGGAUUUAUUGGGCGUAAAGCGAGCGCAGACGGUUAUUUAAGUCUGAAGUGAAAGCCCUCGGCUCAACCGAGGAAUUGCUUUGGAAACUGGAUAACUUGAGUGCAGUAGAGGAAAGUGGAACUCCAUGUGUAGCGGUGAAAUGCGUAGAUAUAUGGAAGAACACCAGUGGC